rnacentral:rRNA from 1 species
ACUCAAAUGAAUUGACGGGGGCCCGCACAAGCAGUGGAGCAUGUGGUUCAAUUCGAUGCAACGCGAAGAACCUUACCUGGGUUUGAAAGGCAAGUGACAACCGAUGAAAGUCGGUCUUGUAGCAAUACACACUUGUACAGGUGCUGCAUGGCUGUCGUCAGCUCGUGCCGUGAGGUGUUAGGUUAAGUCCUGCAACGAGCGCAACCCCUGCACUUAGUUGCCAUCAGGUCAAGCUGGGCACUCUAAGUGGACUGCCUGCGCAAGCAGCGAGGAAGGCGGGGAUGACGUCAAGUCCUCAUGGCCCUUACACCCAGGGCCACACACGUGCUACAAUGGCCGCUACAACGGGCAGCGAACGCGUAAGCGGGAGCCAAUCCCUGAAAAGCGGCCUCAGUUCGGAUUGAGGGCUGCAACUCGCCCUCAUGAAGCUGGAAUUGCUAGUAAUCGCGGAUCAGCACGCCGCGGUGAAUACGUUCCCGGGCCUUGUACACACCGCCCGU